AAAUAGCAAAAGGUCUGUCUGUGGGACAGUCAUUUACCCGUGCUUCUAGAAAAAAUCCUUGCUCUGCUGGCCACUAAAGAUGAAUAGGCCCCAGCCUUGAGGCUCGGGACUGGCCACGAGGCAGCUGCAGAAGAGCACUAACCUGGACACAGCCAGAGAGGUGCACAGGGACAGCCGCUUCUGAGAAUUUCACUCCACACGUGACGGCCAGAGGAAAGGGAGAAUUGAUGUGGCAGGUCCUGAGCUGGGACAUGAGAAGCCAUGGCCAGGUUUGAAGAUAUUAUUUCCCUUUCCUCUCAGUCCCAGUGGUCCUGAGGCCCAGGUUGGAGCCACUGUUCUCUCACCCACCUGAAAGCUGACUCAUCAACUUCCCUGGAUCCCAGACAUGGAUUUUCCCUGAAACCAACUCUUCCUGUCUUGGGAAGCCGGCUCAGGUCAGUGCCUGACCGUUUCCUGGGAGAGGCUCUGGUAAGGCCAGCCUCGGCCUUUCCUUCAUCUACUUCUGCUCCGAGAAAGUUCCUCAUUCUUUUUUCUCUUUAGACAUUACGUUAUUUUUCCUGCUAAGUGUUACGGUAACACAUAGUAAUCAUAGAAAAUUUGCAAAAUAAAAGAAAGUAUAAAGAAACAAACCAACGAAACCCCCCAAUGAUUUCUAAAGGGCCUGUGUUUCUAGUCCUUGCUCCAUUCGGGUCCCCUCCUUUCUUCUGCAAACUUCCUG
rnacentral:lncRNA from 10 species